CCACUCCUCCUCCUCUUCCUCCUCCUCCUCCUCCUCCUCCUCCUCCUCCGCUGUCCCCUGUCCCUCCUGGGACCAGGGGCUCGGCAUUCCCUGGGCUGGAUUGGAGUUGGGCUCUGCCUUCCCCGUGGGCAUCUCCAUCCUCCUGUGCCACAGGGGGGUCCUGGAGCUGCUGCCUCCGCAGGGAGGGGCUCUCCUGGGAGUGGCACCCCGGGCUCUGUGCCCUUGAACCCCCCAGGGGCACAGUGGCCCCCAAGUCACAAAGGGACAUCCCAGCACCCCAACGGCCAUGGAACCACCUGGAACCCUCUGGAACCAGCCUGGGGCACCCCUGGGGCAGCCCCUGCUGUGCCCAGAGCCCUGUGAGGGUCUGGCCCCCGCUCUGGGGGUGCAGAGGGACUCGUUCCCCACCUUUGCAGGGGGUUUGUCCCCCUCGUGUGCAGGUGACGGGGUGAGUGGGGCAGGUGACACCACAGGACGGGGCCACCCGGGGGGACCUGGGCACACUCGACAAGUGGCAGCACAAGGAGCUCCCGCGGUUCAGCCGGGCCGGCGCCUCGGCAGGAUGCGGGAGAUGCCUCGGGCCAGAACAAAAGCCUUCCCAGCAUCCAGCCCCGGGAGACAGACGGGGAACGGCUCCGUCCUGUGUGCCGGGCGUGUCCCGGCCCCGCGCCGGCCCCGUCCCUGCUCCCCGCCUGGGCGAGGAGCAUCCCUGGGUCGGGGGGGACCCAUCCCGGAGGAGCAUCCCUGGGUCGGGGGGGACCCAUCCCGGAGGAGCAUCCCUGGGGGAUGCAGAUCCGAAGGACCCCAUCCCUCAGGAGCACCCCGGCUGUUGUGGGACCGAAGGACCCGUCCCGUGGGAGCACCCCCGGGUGACACAGGGCUGGAGGACCCCGUCCCGCCGCCCCCUCGGCCGAGCGGGGCUCUGGGACAGCCCCGCGGAUGCGGCACAGGGAGCAGGGCCGGGCUGGGCUGGUGGGGGCCAGCUCUGCCCCCCUGCCCUGCCCGGCCCGGGCACCGCGGAGCUGCCCCGCUCCCUCCCCCCGCCGCUCCACAAAAUCCCAAUAAAAGAAGGAAAAGUCAA